rnacentral:misc_RNA from 1 species
UCUCCGUAGGUGAACCUGCGGAGGGAUCAUUACAGAGUUCAUGCCCUAACGUGUAGAUCUCCCACCCUCUGUUAUCAUCACUUUGUUGCUUUGGCGGGCCGUCAGGCCUCGGCUUGGCUACCGGCUCUCGCUGGUAAGCGCCCGCCAGAGAACCCCAAACCCUGAAUAUCAGUGUCGUCUGAGUACUAUAUAAUAGUUAAAACUUUCAACAACGGAUCUCUUGGUUCUG